rnacentral:rRNA from 1 species
GUAGUCCUGGCUGUAAACGAUGUCGACUUGGAGGUUGUGCCCUUGAGGCGUGGCUUCCGGAGCUAACGCGUUAAGUCGACCGCCUGGGGAGUACGGCCGCAAGGUUAAAACUCAAAUGAAUUGACGGGGGCCCGCACAAGCGGUGGAGCAUGUGGUUUAAUUCGAUGCAACGCGAAGAACCUUACCUGGUCUUGACAUCCACGGAAGUUUUCAGAGAUGAGAAUGUGCCUUCGGGAACCGUGAGACAGGUGCUGCAUGGCUGUCGUCAGCUCGUGUUGUGAAAUGUUGGGUUAAGUCCCGCAACGAGCGCAACCCUUAUCCUUUGUUGCCAGCGGUCCGGCCGGGAACUCAAAGGAGACUGCCAGUGAUAAACUGGAGGAAGGUGGGGAUGACGUCAAGUCAUCAUGGCCCUUACGACCAGGGCUACACACGUGCUACAAUGGCGCAUACAAAGAGAAGCGACCUCGCGAGAGCAAGCGGACCUCAUAAAGUGCGUCGUAGUCCGGAUUGGAGUCUGCAACUCGACUCCAUGAAGUCGGAGUCGCUAGUAAUCGUGGAUCAGAAUGCCACGGUGAAUACGUUCCCGGGCCUUGUACACACCGCCCGUCACACCAUGGGAGUGGGUUGCAAAAGAAGUAGGUAGCUUAACCUUCGGGAGGGCGCUUACCACUUUGUGAUUCAUGACUGGGGUGAAGUCGUAACAAGGUAACCGUAGGGGAACCUGCGGCUGGAUCACCUCC